rnacentral:rRNA from 1 species
GUAGGUGGGCAAGCGUUGUCCGGAAUUAUUGGGCGUAAAGCGCGCGCAGGUGGGGUCUUUAAGUCUGAUGUGAAAGCCCCCGGGCUCAACCGGGGAGGGUCAUUGGAAACUGGGGAACUUGAGUGCAGGAGAGGAAAGUGGAAUUCCACGUGUAGCGGUGAAAUGCGUAGAUAUGUGGAGGAACACCAGUGGCGAAGGCGACUUUCUGGCCUGUAACUGACACUGAGGCGCGAAAGCGUGGGGAGCAAACAGGAUUAGAUACCCUGGUAGUCCACGCCGUAAACGAUGAGUGCUAAGUGUUGGGGGGUUUCCGCCCCUCAGUGCUGCAGCUAACGCAUUAAGCACUCCGCCUGGGGAGUACGGUCGCAAGACUG